GAUGAACGCUGGCGGCGUGCCUAAUACAUGCAAGUCGAGCGAACGGACGAGAAGCUUGCUUCUCUGAUGUUAGCGGCGGACGGGUGAGUAACACGUGGAUAACCUACCUAUAAGACUGGGAUAACUUCGGGAAGCCGGAGCUAAUACCGGAUAAUAUUUUGAACCGCAUGGUUCAAAAGUGAAAGACGGUCUUGCUGUCACUUAUAGAUGGAUCCGCGCUGCAUUAGCUAGUUGGUAAGGUAACGGCUUACCAAGGCAACGAUGCAUAGCCGACCUGAGAGGGUGAUCGGCCACACUGGAACUGAGACACGGUCCUGACUCCUACGGGAGGCAGCAGUAGGGAAUCUUCCGCAAUGGGCGAAAGCCUGACGGAGCAACGCCGCGUGAGUGAUGAAGGUCUUCGGAUCGUAAAACUCUGUUAUUAGGGAAGAACAUAUGUGUAAGUAACUGUGCACAUCUUGACGGUACCUAAUCAGAAAGCCACGGCUAACUACGUG
rnacentral:rRNA from 1 species